AACUGGCAAGCAUGGCAGCAAGGACAGGUUACUCUGGCAAUGUGAACUAAGCACUGGACCUCACACAUGUUCUAAAACCAACCAUCAGUAAGAUCUACUAUGCAGCAGAAAGAAAUACAUAGGAUAGUGAAAUACAGGAACUGUGAACAGCAAAGCUACACUUCUGUUUCGCCAAGGAACUACUGUCCCGCUCCCUUGAAAAUCUGCACAGACCUUUCUGCUGUACUACUAUGAAGACGUAUCUUGGAAAACAGCUGUGAGAAGAACCCAUAUCAGCAUUCUCCAGUGAAGUUUCAUAACUAGGUCUUCAUGCCACUUCUCUUCCUGACAUGGAUAGAGUGUUCCAUAGAAUAGAUGCCCACCAGAACAGUCCAGAAACUUCUAUCCAGUUUGUUAUAUUUAUCAAUGCCACUCUGUGACCACCUCAACACUAAAUCUGGCCCCAGAACUCCCCAGUGCCUUUUGUCUCCUGGUCAGUACAGUCAUCUGUCCUUUCUACUGAUUUCAGGUAUUCCCUGUAUGUUUUAAAUUGAUUUUGAAGGUUUCAUGUUUAUAAUGUAUGCAUGUAUAGUACAAUUUUCUCAGAUAACCUCCAGACACACCUUUCAACCUCAACCAUACUGUGAUUCAAUAAUAAACAGUCUCAAUAGCACCUGACUACAUUUUUAUUACAUCCUUUUGGUGGUCAGAAUAUAAAAUCCAAUCUUUAAAAAGUACAUUUUCUAGUUCAACUAUGUACCUUCUAUACUUUCAGUUGUGUUCCAUGUAUAAUAAAU